rnacentral:rRNA from 1 species
CACGUAGGGGGCAAGCGUUGUCCGGAUUUAUUGGGCGUAAAGAGCGUGUAGGCGGCCAAGCAGGUCAGCUGUGAAAACUCGAGGCUCAACCUCGAGACGUCGGUUGAAACCGCUUGGCUAGAGUCCGGAAGAGGAGAGUGGAAUUCCCGGUGUAGCGGUGAAAUGCGCAGAUAUCAGGAGGAACACCGGUGGCGAAGGCGGAUCUCUGGGCCAUUACUGACGCUGAGGAGCGAAAGCGUGGGGAGCGAACAGG